UUAUCUUAACAGAAAUUAGUUAGAAGAAUAAAACUCCAACCAAUUCCACCAUUUAGAGAGAGAAACUCAGAGAUCUGGUUCUCUGUUUCAGAUCGUAGCUUAGAGUCUGGUUUAGGGUUUUGGUUUCGAUCGAUCCCUAUUUUUCAGGCACACAUAACACAAACGCUUUCAUCUCUCAAUUUCGCUUUCUCAUCGAUUCAUUAUCAUCAUCUAUGGCGGUGAUCGAUCCCUAUUUUGCGAUUUUGAUUUAAAUUUCGAUUUUGUAGGGUUCUGGUAAAUCAGCGGUUUUGAACUGUUUAAUUGGACAUCCAGUUCCGGUGGUUUAAAGACAUUCAUGGCAGGAUAGGUUGAGUACGGCCAUCUCAGCCAAGGCUCAAGAUCAAAUAACUUUGAAACUACGCAGGUCUGUGUAUGAAUGAGUGAUGAUGAUUUUGGUUACCUUAAGCUCUGUUUGAAUUGAUGGUACAGAACGGAAUAGAGCGGAAUGAAACAUAAUGGAAUGGAGUGGAGCGGGACGGAAUGGAACACAAAUUAUGUUCCAUUGUUUGGAUAUUCAAUAAAGGAAUGAAACAAAGUUACCAUUCCAUCGUUUGGAAAGUGAACGAAAUGCAAUAAAUUAUAACAUUUUUAUUCCAAUUUUACCCUUAUUUUAAAACAUUAAACUAUAGCCAUAAUAACUCCAAUUGACUCUUCGGUCAAACAAAAAAACUCAGGUUCUAGCAUUUGUAUUAUAGUUUUCAGCAUUAUUAUUUAUCACAUUUGUUUUUACUAAACACACAUAGGAUGCUUCAUGAUAGUAAAAUAUGCCAUAAACUAAUACCAUGAUGUAAAAAUAUGGUGACGAUGGGGAAGCAAGCCAACUACCAGGUAUUUAUUCUAUAUGAACAUUGUAUUUACUCUUUAAACAAUUUCAUUCACAUAAUUGCCUGCUACUACUUCCUGAUAACAUGUUCUGAAGCAAGUUUAAGAUGAAGCAAAUUCUCAACUCAGUUUUGCACAUCUAUGUGGAAAAGAAGAUUGCACAUCUAUGUGGAAAAGAAGAUCUGAGAGUGGAGAGGCACGAUGGAAGAAAAAAGGAAUAAGAAACAUCACGAGAUGAAAAAAAGAAAAGAGGACAAAAGAGUAAUUAAAUAAUAGAAAAGCUCUAUUCCAUUGGAUACACCCCAAAUUGGGGGGAAUGAAAAUUUGAAGGAAUGAGUGGUAUUGGAUGGAAUGAGUUCCAUCAUACUCCAUUCCAUUCCAUUCAUUUUUUAUAAAACCAAACAAUGGAAUGUGACUUUAUUCCACUUCAUUCCAUCCUUUACCACCAAUCCAAACAUAGCCUUAAUGUGUUUUAAUUAGAGUAUUAGAUAUAAUAGAAUUAUACGGAUAUGAAAAGGAUAUAAAUUUCUAGAUUAUUACCAUUUCCCGUCCAAAGUUGUUGUCUUUCUUGACAAUAUCGUAGUCAGGGACGGAUCCAGAAACUUAUCACACCGGAGCCGUAAAAUAGUAAAAUAAUAAAAAUAAAUGUAGAUUUUUCUGUUACACUCUC